UUGAGCAGAUCUGUCGUCUCUUCUGUCGUGUGUGGUGGUUUUUCGUGCCAGUCGGCAGCCAUUCUUGUUAACUCUCACAUUUGGUGGCUUGGGAGAAGAAAGUACGAAUAAACAACGAAGGAAAACCGAAGAGAUCCAAGCACUAAGGCGUGCACGAACUUAAUAGAAAACAGGUGGUGGUGCAUGGAGCGCCAAAUCCCAAGCACGCACUCGACCAGACGCAACUUCGUCCUCCACCUGUCGGAAUACAUCUGGCGCACCUGUGUCGUUGGAGACAAUCGAUCGUUCGAGUAUCUGAUACAUUCGAUUGCCCGACUAUACCCUUUGUAGCUCUCCAAGCAAGUUGAUGAAAACCAGGGGGAUAAAUAGUGAGUGCCCACUGUCAAGAGUUGGAUGCAAUAAAAACCAAGAGCCGUCUGCAUUGUGGGUGACCUUUCCUUGGAUACAGUCGAUCACUGAAUUGUCUAGAUUGCCGUCAACCCAGAAUAAAAACUUGUAGGACA